CCCCUAGAUGUUCUGGGCCGCACGCGCGCUACACUGAACAGUUCACCAAGUCUUAACCUUGGCCGAUAGGUCUGGGUAAUCUUUGAACGCUGUUCGUGAUUGGGAUAGACCUUUGCAAUUAUGGGUCUUCAACGAGGAAUUCCUAGUAAACGCAAGUCAUCAGCUUGCAUUGAUUACGUCCCUGCCCUUUGUACACACCGCCCGUCGCACCUACCGAUUGAAUGGUCCGGUGAAAUCUCGGGACGGCGGCUUGGUCGCUUGCGUCCGACUGCUGAAACUUGAUUAAACCAUAUCAUUUAGAGGAAGGUGAAGUCGUAACA
rnacentral:rRNA from 1 species